rnacentral:rRNA from 1 species
GUGCAAAGGUAGCAUAAUCAUUAGUUUUUUAAUUGAAAGCUUGUAUGAAUGGUUUGACAAAGUAUUUACUGUCUUAAUAAAAAUUAUAUUAGAACUUUAUUUUUUAAUUAAAAAGUUAAAAUAAUAUUGGAGGACGAGAAGACCCCAUAGAUCUUUAUAAUUGAAUUUAUUUUUAUUUAUUUANAAUAAUUUAAUAAUUUUAAGUUUAAUUAUUUUAUUGGGG